ACGCGACCCCAGGUCAAGCGG
rnacentral:rRNA from 2 species